UUCUCCCCCAUCACUUACAAAAGUAUUUAACAUUGGUCAUAGACCAUCGAUGAUUUUGAAACAUCAAUGGUCAUCCCUAGCGUGUACAGAGUGGGAGAGAUGCCUCAAGCCUAGAAUCAAGUUGCCAGGUGCUUCCAAUCAGCUUCUAGAUAGCAUUUAUCAACGUCCCCAUGGUUACUAGCCGAAGUCCGGAACGUCACUUCCGCCCGAGUGGGAAGUCGGAGAUGUCGCGGUAGUCUGACUGGGGCAACGGGUUGCCAUGGUUACCAGGCCGGGCCCCGUUACGUCAUUUCCGCCCCACCGCCGGAGGCCGGAAGGAUGCCGGAGCUUGCAGGCAACGUGACGGGGGACGCCCGCUGGUGGGGGAGGCCCAUGGGGACAACUGAGUGGAUUGUGGAUCCUCACUUUGGGGGCUGGCCAAUAGAGCUAGUGGUGGCACGGCCGACACUGCGGAGAUGCGCCGUUGGGGUGGUGAUGCUGGUGCUGGAGCCUCAAGACGGCGUCUCUUGGGUGGCCUCAUUGCCACAGUAACCGAGCCCUGUGAUGGGCGCCUUAGUGUAGGUGGAUUUGCCGAAGAAGAACCUGUGUGAUAAGAUAAUCAUUAACAUUUUGUGUUUCUAUGUGUUUGCAGAAUAUGUGUAUACAGUUAAAUCUUACCGGCAUUGCCACCAUCUGCAUCUCUUGGCAGUGUUGGCUGUGGCCUGGCUGUGCUGCUUCUCUGGCGUACUGUAGAAAUAUGAAGAAUGACCUUAUGAACAUACUAUUUUGGUGAUAUGUUUUUGCAAAUUCCUUAUUGUGAUGUAAACAUAUGUGGUACCUGAUGAGAAUUAAACUAAACGAUGCUUAUGC